rnacentral:rRNA from 1 species
CGGGACGGGUGAGUAACGCGUGGGUAACCUGCCUCAUACAGGGGGAUAACGAUUGGAAACGAUUGCUAAUACCGCAUAAGCGCACAGUACCACAUGGUACAGUGUGAAAAACUCUGGUGGUAUGAGAUGGACCCGCGUCUGAUUAGUUAGUUGGUGAGGUAACGGCCCACCAAGGCAACGAUCAGUAGCCGACCUGAGAGGGUGACCGGCCACAUUGGGACUGAGACACGGCCCAG